GCCUGGGUGGCCCAGUUGGUUGGGCAUCUGACUUCGGCUCAGGUCAUGAUCUUGAGGUUCGUGAGUUCGAGCCCCACAUUGGGCU
rnacentral:tRNA from 1 species